rnacentral:lncRNA from 1 species
CCGGCCUUCAGGCAGUUAUUUUUGGGUGCGGCUUUGCCCGCGGCCUACUUUUGGCACACGGAGGCUCCUCGCAAAGUCUGGCGCCAUUCCGAGUCCGGCGGACGAAGUUGGCCAGCCCCACCCCCCAAGGCUAUAGCCCACCCAUUUUUGAGGCCUUUUUCAGCUGGACGAACUUGGCGCCCCGGCCUUCGGGCGGUUAUUUUUGGGCGCGGCUUUGCCCGUGGCCUAUUUUUGGCACACGGAGGCCCCUCGCAAAGUCUCACGGCAUUUCCGAGUCCGGCGGACGAAGUUGGCCAGCCCCACCCCCCAAGGCUAUAGCCGACCCGUUUUUGUGGCUUUUUCCGCUGGACGAACUUGGCGCCCCGGCCUUCGGGCUGUUAAUUUUGGGCGCGGCUUUGGCCGCUGCCUAUUUUUGGCACACAGUGGCCCCUCGUAAAGUCUCGCGGCAUUCCGAGUCCGGCGGACGAAGAUGGCCAGCCCCACCCCCCAAGGCUAUAGCCCACCCGUUUUUGUGGCCUUUUUCCGCUGGACGAACUUGGCGCCCCGGCCUUCGGGCGGUUAUUUUUGGGCGCGGCUUUGGCCGCUGCCUAUUUUUGGCACACAGAGGCCCCUCAUAAAGUCUCGCGGCAUUCCGAGUCCGGCGGACGAAGAUGGCCAGCCCCACCCCCCAAGGCUAUAGCCCACCCGUUUUUGUGGCCUUUUUCCGCGGGACGAACUUGGCGCCCCGGCCUUCGGGCGGUUAUUUUUUGGUGCGGCUGUGCCCGCGGCCUAUUUUUGGCACACGGAGGCGCCUCGCAAAGUCUCGCGCCAUUCCGUGUCCGGCGGAUGAAGUGGGCCAGCCCCAGCCCCCAAGGCUAUAGCCCACCCGUUUUUGUGGCCUUUUUCCGGUGGACGAACUUGACGCCCUGACCUUCGGGCGGUUAUUUUUGGGCGCGGCUGUGCCUGCGGCCUAUUUUUUGCACACGGAGGCACCUCGCAAAGUCUCGCGCCAUUCUGAGCCCGGCGGACGAAGUUGUCCUGCCCCACACCCCAAGGCUAUAGCCCACCCGUUUUUGUGGGCUUUUUCUGCAGGACGAACUUGGCGCCCCGGCCUUCGGCGGUUAUUUUUGGGCGCGGCCUUGCCCGUGGCCUAUUUUUGGCCCAGGGAGGCCCCUCGCAAAGUCUCGCGGCAUUCCGAGUCCGGCGGACGAAGUUGGCCAGCCCCACCCCCCAAGGCUAUAGCCCACCCGUUUUUGUGGCUAUUUUCCCCUGGACGAACUUGGCGCCCCGGGCUUCGGGCGGUUAUUUUUUGGCGCGGCUNNNNNNNNNNNNNNNNNNNNNNNNNNNNNNNNNNNNNNNNNNNNNNNNNNNNNNNNNNNNNNNNNNNNNNNNNNNNNNNNNNNNNNNNNNNNNNNNNNNNNNNNNNNNNNNNNNNNNNNNNNNNNNNNNNNNNNNNNNNNNNNNNNNNNNNNNNNNNNNNNNNNUAUUUUUGGGUACGGCUUUGUCCGUGGCCGUUUUUUGGCACACGGAGGCCCCUCGCCAAGUCUCGCGGCAUUCCGAGUCCGGCGGACGAAGUCGUCAGCCCCACCCCCCAACGCUAUACCCCACCCGUUUUUGUGGCCCUUUUGCGCUGGACAAACUUGGCGCCCCGGGCUUCGGGCAGUUAUUUUUGGGCGCGGCUUUGCCCGCGGCCUAUUUUUGGCACAUGGAGGCCCCUCGCAAAGUCUUACGGCAUUCCGAGUCCGGCGGACGAAGUCGGCCAGCCCCACCCCCCAAGGCUAUAUAGCCCACCCGUUUUUGUGGCCUUUUUCCGCUGGACGAACUUGGCGCCACGACCUUCGGGCGUUAUUUUUGGGUGCGGCUGAGUCCUUUUCAUAUUUUUGGCGCACGGAGGUGCCUCGCAAAGUCUCGCGCCAUUCCGAGUCCGGCGGACGAAGUUGGCCAGCCCCACCACCCAAGGCUAUAGCCCACCCGUUUUUGUGGCCUUUUUCCGCGGGACGAACUUGGUGCCCCGGCCUUCGGGCGGUUAUUUUUGGGUGCGGCUGUGCCCGUGGCCUAUUUUUGGCACACGGAGGUGCCUCGCAAAGUCUCGCGCCAUUCCGAGUGCUGCGGACGAAUUUGGCCAGCCCCACCCCCCAAGGCUAUAGCCCACCCGUUUUUGUGGCCUUUUUCCACUGGACGAACUUGGCGCCCCGGCCUUCGGGUGGUUAUUUUUGGGCGCGGCUGUACCCGUGGCCUAUUUUCAGCACACGGAGGUGCCUCGCAAAGUCUCGCGCCAUUCCGAGUCCGGCGGACGAUGUUGGCCAGCCCCACCCCCCAAGGCUAUAGCCCACCCGUUUUUGUGGCCUUUUUCCACUGGACGAACUUGGUGCCCCGGCCUUCGGGGGUUAUUUUUGGGCGCGGCUGUGGCCGCGGCCUAUUUUUGGCACACGGAGGUGCCUCGCAAUGUCUCGUGCCAUUCCGAGUCCAGCGGACGAAGUUGGCCAGCCCCAGCCCCACCCCCCAAGGCUAUAUAGCCCACCCGUUUUUGUGGCCUUUUUCCCUGGACGAACUUGGCGCCACGACCUUCGGGCGUUAUUUUUGGGCGCGGCUGAGUCCUUUUCAUAUUUUUGGCGCACGGAGGUGGCUCGCAAAGUCUCGCGCCAUUCCGAGUCCGGCGGACGAAGUUGGCCAGCCCCACCACCCAAGGCUAUAGCCCACCCGUUUUUGUGGCCUUUUUCCGCGGGACGAACUUGGUGCCCCGGCCUUCGGGCGUUAUUUUUGGGCGCGGCUGAGUCCUUUUCCUAUUUUUGGCGCACGGAGGUGCCUCGCAAAGUCUCGCGCCAUUCCGAGUCCGGCGGACGAAGUUGGCCAGCCCCACCACCCAAGGCUAUAGCCCACCCGUUUUUGUGGCCUUUUUCCGCUAGACGAACUUGGCGCCCCGCCCUUCGGGCGGGUAUUUUUGAGCACUGCUGUGCCUGCGGCCUAUUUUGGCACACGGAGGCACCUAGCAAGGUCUCUCUCCAUUCCGAGUACGGCGGACGAAGUUGGCCAGCCCCACCCCCUAAGGCUACAGCCCACUCGUUUUUGUGGGCUUUUUCUGCUGGACGAACUUGGCACCCCAGCCUUUGGGUGGUUAUUUUUGGACGCGGCUGUGCCCGCGGCCUAUUUUUGUCACACGGAGGUGCCUCGCAAAGUCUCGCGCCAUUCCGAGUCCGGCGGACAAAGUUGGCCAGCCCCACCCCCCAAGGCUAUAGCCCACCCGUUUUUGUGGCCUUUUUCCGCUGGACGAACUUGGCGCCACGACCUUCGGGCGUUAUUUGUGGGCGCGGCCGAGUCCGGGUCCUAUUUUUGGCGCACGGAGGUGCCUCACAAAGUCUCGCGCUAUUCCGAGUCCGGCGGACGAAGUUGGCCAGCCCCACCCCCCAAGGUUAUAGCCCACCCGGUUUUGUGGCCUUUUUCCGCUAGACGAACUUGGCGCCCUGGCCUUCGGGCUGGUAUUUUUGAGCACUGCUGUGCCCGCGGCCUAUUUUUGGCACACGGAGGCACCUCGCAAGGUCUCUCUCCAUUCCGAGUCCGGCGGACGAAGUUGGCGAGCCCCACCCCCCAAGGCUAUAGCCCACCCGUUUUUGUGGCCUUUUUCCGCUGGACGAACUUGGCGCCCCGUCCUUCGGGCGGUUAUUUUUGGGCGCGGCUGUUCCCACGGCCUAUUUUUGCCACACGGAGGUGCCUCGCAAAGUUUCGCGCCAUUCCGAGUGCUGCGGACGAAUUUGGCCAGCCCCACCCCCCAAGGCUAUAGCCCACCCGUUUUUGUGGCCUUUUUCCGCUGGACGAACUUGGCGCCCCGGCCUUCGGGCGGUUAUUUUUGGGCGCGGCUGUGCCCGCGGCCUAUUUUUGGCACACGGAGGCACCUCGCAAAGUCUCACGCAAUUCCGAGUCCGGCGGACGAAGUCGGCCAGCCCCACCCCCCAAGGUUAUAACCCACCCGUUUUUGUGGCCUUUUUCCGCUAGACGAACUUGGCGCCCCGCCCUUCGGGCGGGUAUUUUUCAGUACUGCUGUGCCUGCGGCCUAUUUUUGGCAUACGGAGGCACCUAGCAAGGUCUCUCUCUAUUCCGAGUCCGGCGGACGAAUUUGGCCAGCCCCACCCCCCAAGGCUAUAGCCCACCCGUUUUUGUGGCCUUUUUCCACUGGACGAACUUGGCGCGCCGGCCUUCGGGUGGUUAUUUUUGGGCGCGGCUGUACCCGCGGCCUAU